GUGGGUCUCCUUGGGUCUUCUACACAGAUUCCAAAGUCCACAAGUCCAAAGUCUACAAGUCCAAAGACAUGCCCUAUAGCUGAAUUGGCCUUAUUUCCAC